ensembl:rRNA 5S_rRNA 5S ribosomal RNA
GUCUACAGCCAUACCACCCUGACCGUGCCUGAUCUCCUCUGAUAUUGAAAGUCAAGCAGGGUGGGGCCUGCUUAGUACUUAGAUGGAAGAGACUAUGGUCUCCAACCAAGAAGAGAGCCUCACUGGAAACC